rnacentral:rRNA from 1 species
GACGUAGGGCGCGAGCGUUGUCCGGAUUUAUUGGGCGUAAAGAGCUCGUAGGCGGCUUGUCGCGUCGACUGUGAAAACCUAAGGCUCAACCUUGGGCUUGCAGUGGGUACGGGGCAGACUAGAGUGCGGUAGGGGUGACUGGAAUUCCUGGUGUAGCGGUGGAAUGCGCAGAUAUCAGGAGGGAACACCGAUGGCGAAGGCAGG